rnacentral:rRNA from 1 species
UACGGGGGGGGCAAGCGUUGUUCGGAAUUACUGGGCGUAAAGGGCGCGUAGGCGGUUCGCUAAGUUGAAUGUGAAAACUCUGGGCUUAACCCAGAGCCUGCAUCCAAAACUGGCAAACUUGAGUACUGGAGGGGAAAGCGGAAUUCCUGGUGUAGCGGUGAAAUGCGUAGAUAUCAGGAGGAACACCGGUGGCGAAGGCGGCUUUCUGGACAGUAACUGACGCUGAGGCGCGAAAGCUAGGGGAGCAAACGGG